GACGAACGCUGGCGGCGUGCUUAACACAUGCAAGUCGAACGGUGACGAGGAGCUUGCUCCUCCGAUCAGUGGCGAACGGGUGAGUAACACGUGAGUAACCUGCCCGGACUCUGGGAUAACAGUUGGAAACAGCUGCUAAUACCGGAUACGAGACGGAGAGGCAUCUCUACCGUCUGGAAAGUUCUUCGGUCCGGGAUGGACUCGCGGCCUAUCAGCUAGUUGGUGAGGUAACGGCUCACCAAGGCGACGACGGGUAGCCGGCCUGAGAGGGCGACCGGCCACACUGGGACUGAGACACGGCCCAGACUCCUACGGGAGGCAGCAGUGGGGAAUAUUGCACAAUGGGCGAAAGCCUGAUGCAGCGACGCCGCGUGAGGGAGUGACGGCC
rnacentral:rRNA from 1 species